AUUGAACGCUGGCGGAAUGCUUUACACAUGCAAGUCGAACGGUAACAGGUUAAGCUGACGAGUGGCGAACGGGUGAGUAAUACAUCGGAACGUGCCCAGUCGUGGGGGAUAACGUAGAGAAAUUUACGCUAAUACCGCAUACGAUCUAAGGAUGAAAGCGGGGGACCGUAAGGCCUCGCGCGAUUGGAGCGGCCGAUGUCGGAUUAGGUAGUUGGUGGGGUAAAGGCCUACCAAGCCGACGAUCUGUAGCUGGUCUGAGAGGACGACCAGCCACACUGGGACUGAGACACGGCCCAGACUCCUACGGGAGGCAGCAGUUGGGAAUUUUGGACAAUGGGCGCAAGCCUGAUCCAGCCAUUCCGCGUGCAGGAUGAAGGCCCUCGGGUUGUAAACUGCUUUUGUACAGAACGAAAAGGUCUGGGUUAAUACCCUGGGCUCAUGACGGUACUGUAAGAAUAAGCACCGGCUAACUACGUGCCAGCCGCCGCCGCAG
rnacentral:rRNA from 1 species